AAAGCUAGGAAGCAGCGAGACAGUGUUGUUUUGUCUUUUGAAAUGUAUGAACAUUUCAGGCAUGAAUAUUGAGAAAAUCUUUGAGAUUCUACGCAAUAUAUAAAUUGAUUUUUUGCAUUACGGGCAUUCUAUUAAGUGCCGACGGUAUAUUCAUUAUACAGAGCUAAGAAGCAGCGAGACCGUGUUUUCAAAUGUAUAAACAUUUCAGACAUAAAUAUUGAGAAAAUCUUUGUUUACGUGUAUAGCACAACG
rnacentral:lncRNA from 1 species